rnacentral:lncRNA from 1 species
CAAAGAGGUGCCCACCUCUUGCCUUAUGAGGCUAUCUGAGGCAGGAGGUGCUAAAUAGGCGCACUUCAACUCUGUCCACUUAUGUUGUUUCAAGCAAUAAAGGUUGCAUCCUGUUGAUUACAGGGUCCCCAAAAGUAUAAGUGCUACUAUUACUUGUACUCUGUUGUAUAUUAUCUGCUGAAAGAUCUGCCACAGAAAGGCUCUCAAGUCUAAACUAAUGCCUAAAGGAAGUUUGGAGAGCACAACACCCAUAGUUUGGACAUCUUGCUAUCAGCUUCCCUGCUAUUUUUUGGAUGAUUAUAUGGUGAACUUGUUUUCCUUUUCUUUUUUGUUAUUGCUAUUUAAGUUCCUUUUUAUGGUUUUCACAGAAAUCGCAGCUGCUGUCUUAUAAGGUUUCUUUAUCUGCAGGGAUCAAUUAAACAUGAUUCUCUUUGCUAGUUGCUAUGCUCCCCCGGUCCAAGAGAAAACAUUAGCUCAAUUGCAAGUUGUACGUAGUAUCUGGAUUGUAAAGGUUUGCUAGAGGCAUAAAUACACCACGAUAUGAACAAGUGACAGACGAAGAAAAUUUCUAUCAACCACUUCUGCGUAUUUGGUUUUUACAUUUAGGUACUUGUGAUAAGUUCUUUAUUAGCCUGUUGUUGGAAAUAUGUGAAGAGCAAAUUUAUGCUAGCAAUGUUUACAUUGUUAGAAAUCAGAACAGAAAAGAGGCGUAUCUGUUUCAUAUCUGCUGCCCAAAUAACUUUUUUUAGAAAUAGAAUCACAGGGAUUGCAAUAGAUUUCAAUUCUUGAAACAAGGUAGUUAUCAAAGUAUAUAUGGAAUACAGAAAUCUUAAUAAGCUUUCACAGAGGGAUUCCUAGGAGUAGACAAAGAACCACCGUCCUUAUUUGCACAGCUUUUACCAUUCCUCAAGGCCAUCGCGACCAAAAACUUCUCUUUUGUUUCGCGGCUAACCCUGGCUGAUGAAAUACUGCUGUUUUUGCAGGCGUGGUCCGCUGGAAACCGGUGAUUGAGACACACUCUGGUCUGGCAAGUCUUGCAGGUGCUAGUAUUAGAAAAGGUCAAAAUUUCCUUGCACCUCUUGACAGAACAGGUGGGCUUCUUCUUCUUGCUGGGGUCACAAUCUCCUGACCU